rnacentral:tRNA from 2 species
UGCUUUUGGCUGAUUUGAAGCGGUACAUGGACUGUUAAUCCGUAUGUCACUGGUUCAAGUCCAGUAGGAGGAGCCA